AUCGUAAAACUCUGUUAUUAGGGAAGAACAUAUGUGUAAGUAACUGUGCACAUCUUGACGGUACCUAAUCAGAAAGCCACGGCUAACUACGUGCCAGCAGCCGCGGUAAUACGUAGGUGGCAAGCGUUAUCCGGAAUUAUUGGGCGUAAAGCGCGCGUAGGCGGUUUUUUAAGUCUGAUGUGAAAGCCCACGGCUCAACCGUGGAGGGUCAUUGGAAACUGGAAAACUUGAGUGCAGAAGAGGAAAGUGGAAUUCCAUGUGUAGCGGUGAAAUGCGCAGAGAUAUGGAGGAACACCAGUGGCGAAGGCGACUUUCUGGUCUGUAACUGACGCUGAUGUGCGAAAGCGUGGGGAUCAAACAGGAUUAGAUACCCUGGUAGUCCACGCCGUAAACGAUGAGUGCUAAGUGUUAGGGGGUUUCCGCCCCUUAGUGCUGCAGCUAACGCAUUAAGCACUCCGCCUGGGGAGUACGACCGCAAGGUUGAAACUCAAAGGAAUUGAC
rnacentral:rRNA from 1 species